GAUGAACGCUGGCGGCGUGCCUAAUACAUGCAAGUCGAACGCAUUGUGGUUGAAAUGAUAUGAAGAACUUGUUCAGAUUUGAUUUUCAACAUUGCAAUGAGUGGCGAACGGGUGAGUAACACGUGGGAAACCUACCUCUUAGCAGGGGAUAACAUUUGGAAACAAAUGCUAAUACCGUAUAAUAAUUAAAACCGCAUGGUUUUAGUUUAAAAGAUGGUCUUGCUAUCACUAAGAGAUGGUCCCGCGGUGUAUUAGUUAGUUGGUGAGGUAAUGGCUCACCAAGACAAUGAUACAUAGCCGAGUUGAGAGACUGACCGGCCACAAUGGGACUGAGACACGGCCCAUACUCCUACGGGAGGCAGCAGUAGGGAAUCUUCCACAAUGGACGAAAGUCUGAUGGAGCAACGCCGCGUGUGUGAUGAAGGGUUUCGGCUCGUAAAACACUGUUGUAAGAGAAGAAUGACAUUGAGAGUAACUGUUCAAUGUGUGACGGUAUCUUACCAGAAAGGAACGGCUAAAUACGUGCCAGCAGCCGCGGUAAUACGUAUGUUCCAAGCGUUAUCCGGAUUUAUUGGGCGUAAAGCGAGCGCAGACGGUUAUUUAAGUCUGAAGUGAAAGCCCUCGGCUCAACCGAGGAAUUGCUUUGGAAACUGGAUAACUUGAGUGCAGUAGAGGAAAGUGGAACUCCAUGUGUAGCGGUGAAAUGCGUAGAUAUAUGGAAGAACACCAGUGGCGAAGGCGGCUUUCUGGACUGUAACUGACGUUGAGGCUCGAAAG
rnacentral:rRNA from 1 species